rnacentral:rRNA from 1 species
AUGAACGCUGGCGGCGUGCCUAAUACAUGCAAGUCGAACGAGUUCUGAUUAUUGAAAGGUGCUUGCAUCUUGAUUUAAUUUUGAACGAGUGGCGGACGGGUGAGUAACACGUGGGUAACCUGCCCUUAAGUGGGGGAUAACAUUUGGAAACAGAUGCUAAUACCGCAUAAAUCCAAGAACCGCAUGGUUCUUGGCUGAAAGAUGGCGCAAGCUAUCGCUUUUGGAUGGACCCGCGGCGUAUUAGCUAGUUGGUGAGGUAACGGCUCACCAAGGCAAUGAUACGUAGCCGAACUGAGAGGUUGAUCGGCCACAUUGGGACUGAGACACGGCCCAAACUCCUACGGGAGGCAGCAGUAGGGAAUCUUCCACAAUGGACGCAAGUCUGAUGGAGCAACGCCGCGUGAGUGAAGAAGGCUUUCGGGUCGUAAAACUCUGUUGUUGGAGAAGAAUGGUCGGCAGAGUAACUGUUGUCGGCGUGACGGUAUCCAACCAGAAAGCCACGGCUAACUACGUGCCAGCAGCCGCGGUAAUACGUAGGUGGCAAGCGUUAUCCGGAUUUAUUGGGCGUAAAGCGAGCGCAGGCGGUUUUUUAAGUCUGAUGUGAAAGCCCUCGGCUUAACCGAGGAAGUGCAUCGGAAACUGGGAAACUUGAGUGCAGAAGAGGACAGUGGAACUCCAUGUGUAGCGGUGAAAUGCGUAGAUGUAUGGAAGAACACCAGUGGCGAAGGCGGCUGUCUGGUCUGUAACUGACGCUGAGGCUCGAAAGCAUGGGUAGCGAACAGGAUUAGAUACCCUGGUAGUCCAUGCCGUAAACGAUGAAUGCUAGGUGUUGGAGGGUUUCCGCCCUUCAGUGCCGCAGCUAACGCAUUAAGCAUUCCGCCUGGGGAGUACGACCGCAAGGUUGAAACUCAAAGGAAUUGACGGGGGCCCGCACAAGCGGUGGAGCAUGUGGUUUAAUUCGAAGCAACGCGAAGAACCUUACCAGGUCUUGACAUCUUUUGAUCACCUGAGAGAUCAGGUUUCCCCUUCGGGGGCAAAAUGACAGGUGGUGCAUGGUUGUCGUCAGCUCGUGUCGUGAGAUGUUGGGUUAAGUCCCGCAACGAGCGCAACCCUUAUGACUAGUUGCCAGCAUUUAGUUGGGCACUCUAGUAAGACUGCCGGUGACAAACCGGAGGAAGGUGGGGAUGACGUCAAAUCAUCAUGCCCCUUAUGACCUGGGCUACACACGUGCUACAAUGGAUGGUACAACGAGUUGCGAGACCGCGAGGUCAAGCUAAUCUCUUAAAGCCAUUCUCAGUUCGGACUGUAGGCUGCAACUCGCCUACACGAAGUCGGAAUCGCUAGUAAUCGCGGAUCAGCACGCCGCGGUGAAUACGUUCCCGGGCCUUGUACACACCGCCCGUCACACCAUGAGAGUUUGUAACACCCGAAGCCGGUGGCGUAACCCUUUUAGGGAGCGAGCCGUCUAAGGUGGGACAAAUGAUUAGGGUG